rnacentral:rRNA from 1 species
CUGGGUAACAUCGAGUCUUUGGACGCACGUUGCGCCCGAUGCCAUUAGGUUGAGGGCACGUCUGCCUGGGUGUCACAUAUCGAAACCCCCUGCCAAUUUCCCUUUGAUUAUUGUGCAGGGUGGAUGUUGGCCUCCCGUGAGCUCUUUUGUCUCAUGGUUGGUUGAAAAUUGAGACCUUGGUAGGGUGUGCCAUGAUAGAUGGUGGUUGUGUGACCCACGAGACCAAUCAUGCGCUGCUCUAUUGAAUUUUGGCCUCUUUUACCCAUAUGCGUUUCUAAACGCUCGUGAUGAGACCUCAGGUCAGGCGGGGCUACCCGCUGAAUUUAAGCAUAUCAAUAAGCGGAGGAAAAGAAACUAACAAGGAUUCCCUUAGUAACGGCGAGCGAACCGGGAUAAGCCCACCAUGAGAAUCGGUCGCCCUCGGCGUUCGAAUUGUAGUUGAAAAAAACCGUCAAAACA